rnacentral:tRNA from 1 species
AUUUAUUUAGUAUACUUAGUACCUUUGACUUCCAAUCAAAAAGAUUGACUAAUCAAAAUAAAUA